GCUGGCGGUAGGCUUAACACAUGCAAGUCGUGCGAGUAAAGUAUCUUCGGAUAUGAGUAGAGCGGCGGACGGGUGAGUAACGCGUAGGAAUCUACCUAGUAGAAGGGGAUAGCCCGGGGAAACUCGGAUUAAUACCGUAUACCUCCUUCGGGAGAAAGAAGGCCUCUCAUUGAAGCUUUCGCUACUAGAUGAGCCUGCGUAAGAUUAGCUUGUUGGUGAGGUAAAGGCUCACCAAGGCGACGAUCUUUAGCGGGUCUGAGAGGACGAUCCGCCACAUUGGGACUGAGACACGGCCCAGACUCCUACGGGAGGCAGCAGUGGGGAAUAUUGGACAAUGGGCGCAAGCCUGAUCCAGCCAUACCGCGUGUGUGAAGAAGGCCCUAGGGUUGUAAAGCACUUUAAGUUGGGAAGAAAAGUUAUUGGUUAAUACCCAAUAGCCGUGACAUUACCAUCAGAAUAAGGACCGGCUAAUUCCGUGCCAGCAGCCGCGGUAAUACGGAAGGUCCAAGCGUUAAUCGGAAUUACUGGGCGUAAAGCGCGCGUAGGUGGUUUAUUAAGU
rnacentral:rRNA from 1 species